GACGAACGCUGGCGGCGUGCUUAACACAUGCAAGUCGAACGGAAAGGCCUGCUUUCCCUUGUGGAUUGCGGGUACUCGAGUGGCGAACGGGUGAGUAACACGUGAGUGAUCUGCCCCCAACUUGGGUAUAAGCCUGGGAAACUGGGUCUAAUUCCCGAUAGGACUGCAGGGUGGUGCCUGUGGUGGAAAACGAUUUUCUAGUGGUUGGGGAUGAGCUCGCGGCCUAUCAGCUUGUUGGUGGGGUAAUGGCCUACCAAGGCGGCGACGGGUAGCCGGCCUGGGAGGGUGGACGGCCACAUUGGGACUGGGAUACGGCCCAGACUCCUACGGGAGGCAGCAGUGGGGAAUAUUGCACAAUGGGCGGAAGCCUGAUGCAGCGACGCCGCGUGGAGGAUGACGGCCUUCGGGUUGUAAACUCCUUUCGACCGCGAGGAAGCCACCUGGUUGGAAGGGUGGUGACGGUAGUGGUAGAAGAAGCACCGGCUAACUACGUG
rnacentral:rRNA from 1 species